AAAACCCACCAAGUUCUCCUCUGUGAAAUAAUAAAUUCUCUAAGCUGGCAUCACCAAACAGGUCAUUCAUUUGGUUGGAGAGGUGGGCAUAUACAGAGGAGUAGUGUUUCAGGUUAGAGAGGAGUAGACAGGGUAGUGUUUCAGGUUGGAGAGGUGGGCAUAUACAGAGGAGUAGUGUUUCAGGUUAGAGAGGAGUAGACAGGGUAGUGUUUCAGGUUGGAGAGGUGGGCAUAUACAGAGGAGUAGUGUUUCAGGUUAGAGAGGAGUAGACAGGGUAGUGUUUCAGGUUGGAGAGGUGGGCAUAUACAGAGGAGUAGUGUUUCAGGUUAGAGAGGAGUAGACAGGGUAGUGUUUCAGGUUGGAGAGGUGGGCAUAUACAGAGGAGUAGUGUUUCAGGUUAGAGAGGAGUAGACAGGGUAGUGUUUCAGGUUGGAGAGGUGGGCAUAUACAGAGGAGUAGUGUUUCAGGUUA